rnacentral:rRNA from 3 species
AAAUUGAAGAGUUUGAUCAUGGCUCAGAUUGAACGCUGGCGGCAGGCCUAACACAUGCAAGUCGAACGGUAACAGGAAUCAGCUUGCUGAUUCGCUGACGAGUGGCGGACGGGUGAGUAAUGUCUGGGAAACUGCCUGAUGGAGGGGGAUAACUACUGGAAACGGUAGCUAAUACCGCAUAAUGUCGCAAGACCAAAGAGGGGGACCUUCGGGCCUCUUGCCAUCGGAUGUGCCCAGAUGGGAUUAGCUUGUUGGUGGGGUAACGGCUCACCAAGGCGACGAUCCCUAGCUGGUCUGAGAGGAUGACCAGCCACACUGGAACUGAGACACGGUCCAGACUCCUACGGGAGGCAGCAGUGGGGAAUAUUGCACAAUGGGCGCAAGCCUGAUGCAGCCAUGCCGCGUGUAUGAAGAAGGCCUUCGGGUUGUAAAGUACUUUCAGCGGGGAGGAAGGGAGUAAAGUUAAUACCUUUGCUCAUUGACGUUAUCCGCAGAAGAAGCACCGGCUAACUCCGUGCCAGCAGCCGCGGUAAUACGGAGGGUGCAAGCGUUAAUCGGAAUUACUGGGCGUAAAGCGCACGCAGGCGGUUUGUUAAGUCAGAUGUGAAAUCCCCGGGCUCAACCUGGGAACUGCAUCUGAUACUGGCAAGCUUGAGUCUCGUAGAGGGGGGUAGAAUUCCAGGUGUAGCGGUGAAAUGCGUAGAGAUCUGGAGGAAUACCGGUGGCGAAGGCGGCCCCCUGGACGAAGACUGACGCUCAGGUGCGAAAGCGUGGGGAGCAAACAGGAUUAGAUACCCUGGUAGUCCACGCCGUAAACGAUGUCGACUUGGAGGUUGUGCCCUUGAGGCGUGGCUUCCGGAGCUAACGCGUUAAGUCGACCGCCUGGGGAGUACGGCCGCAAGGUUAAAACUCAAAUGAAUUGACGGGGGCCCGCACAAGCGGUGGAGCAUGUGGUUUAAUUCGAUGCAACGCGAAGAACCUUACCUGGUCUUGACAUCCACGGAAGUUUUCAGAGAUGAGAAUGUGCCUUCGGGAACCGUGAGACAGGUGCUGCAUGGCUGUCGUCAGCUCGUGUUGUGAAAUGUUGGGUUAAGUCCCGCAACGAGCGCAACCCUUAUCCUUUGUUGCCAGCGGUCCGGCCGGGAACUCAAAGGAGACUGCCAGUGAUAAACUGGAGGAAGGUGGGGACGACGUCAAGUCAUCAUGGCCCUUACGACCAGGGCUACACACGUGCUACAAUGGCGCAUACAAAGAGAAGCGACCUCGCGAGAGCAAGCGGACCUCAUAAAGUGCGUCGUAGUCCGGAUUGGAGUCUGCAACUCGACUCCAUGAAGUCGGAAUCGCUAGUAAUCGUGGAUCAGAAUGCCACGGUGAAUACGUUCCCGGGCCUUGUACACACCGCCCGUCACACCAUGGGAGUGGGUUGCAAAAGAAGUAGGUAGCUUAACCUUCGGGAGGGCGCUUACCACUUUGUGAUUCAUGACUGGGGUGAAGUCGUAACAAGGUAACCGUAGGGGAACCUGCGGUUGGAUCACCUCCUUA